CCAAAGGCUGUUUUAAGAGCCACCAAUUCUCUCAUUUGAACAGUUU
rfam:Chlamydotis undulata macqueenii contig102815, whole genome shotgun sequence.